rnacentral:rRNA from 1 species
AUUCUACGGGAGGCAGCAGUGGGGAAUAUUGGACAAUGGACCAAAAGUCUGAUCCAGCAAUUCUGUGUGCACGAUGAAGGUCUUCGGAUCGUAAAGUGCUUUCAGUUGGGAAGAAGAAAGUGACGGUACCAACAGAAGAAGCGACGGCUAAAUACGUGCCAGCAGCCGCGGUAAUAAU